rnacentral:rRNA from 1 species
AUUGAACGCUGGCGGCAUGCCUAACACAUGCAAGUCGAGCGGAGUGGCGGACGGGUGAGUAAUGCCUAGGAAUCUGCCCAGUAGCGGGGGAUAACGUCCGGAAAGGGGCGCUAAUACCGCAUACUAUCAGAUGAGCCUAGGUCGGAUUAGCUAGUUGGUGGGGUAAUGGCCUACCAAGGAGACGAUCCGUACCUGGUCUGAGAGGAUGAUCAGCCACACUGGAACUGAGACACGGUCCAGACUCCUACGGGAGGCAGAAGUGGGGAAUAUUGGACAAUGGGGGAAAGCCUGAUCCAGCCAUGCCGCGUGUGGGAAGAAGGUCUUCGGAUUGUAAAGCACUUUAAGUUGGGAGGCGGUACCAACAGAAUAAGCACCGGCUAACUACGUGCCAGCAGCCGCGGUAAUAC